UCGUCCUGAUAACCUGAUCCUGUAUUGC
rnacentral:sRNA from 1 species